AGAGAGAGAGAGAGAGAGAAAGAACCAUCAACAAAUUUCCUAUAAUUGGCUUGUUUCUUGGCAGAAAGUAACAAAAGUGUCUGGCACUGAAGCCCCCUCUUAGACCAUCAUUCCACCCCCAUAUGAAAGAAUCUGCCCUUUGCCUUCAUACAAAAAAACCACACCCCUUUCUGCCCCAGCGUUUAGAUCACUUGGAAUGACUUGGCAUAGGGCUUUGGUACUGAGCAGAGAUGUAGGGCAGGCUGGGAGGAAUAUGUAUAUUUAAAUUGAAGUGGAUUGGACAAAUUUUUGGUUUUUAAUAUUUUUUAAUUUUAAAAAAAACAUCCCCAAAAAUCCUGUAAGUGGCUUGUUUCAUGACAGAAAAUCACAAAGUCCUUUAGGUUUCGGUGAAAUGUACUUCUAACUAAAUGUGAGGCUGCAAUUCUCCACACACUUACCUGGAAGCAAACUUUACUGAAAUUGUUAGGAAUUCUGAGAAAACAUACAUAGGAUCACACUGCAUGGCUGAAAGUCUUCUUUGUUAAUCAGCAGUGAGGGGCCCAUUUUAAAAUCAUGUCCCCAGGCUCACUCCAACCUUGCUACACCCCUGGACACAGGCCAGACAUUGAGUGACCACCUUCCCAGAAAGAGACCAUUGUGGCCAAGACACUUAGUGGAGUGGUCUUCUGGUUCAGUCCAGAGGCAGCCUGAGUUGUGUCUUAGCCACAGCUAUGUCGGCCUAUCCACGUAGAGUCUGCAAAAUGGUCAGCCGAUGCUGUGGCAACAGGUACUCACCCUGUUCCAGCAAUAGCGAGCUACAAUGAGCAUCUGAACUCUCUUGAACCAGGGAGUUGGGCCUUUGGAUUCAAAUGACAAUUGAGGCUGUCAGUUGUUCCAUGUGACUUCAACUGGAUUGAGGCCACUCUAUAUAGAGCAAGUGCAACUUCUUGAUUGUUCAUUCUCAUUGCUAAUUCAGCCCUUUAGCACAUUCUUCCCCUGAUGGAAUUUUUCUCUAGUUGACAUCAAAUGACCUCAUUAGAAGACCCCUUCCAGAAGCCAGGAAAAACAAAUAAGUGUGGUUCCCAUAUUCCCUUUUCUCAUUGGACCUCAAAUACGACUGGUGGAGUGCACAGAAUCUUUCGCUUGCAUCCUGUAUCCCUUCCCUUCCUUCUGAGACACUCAGCUUCCACCCCAUCACUUUGGUGCCAGUAACUUUAAACACAAUGCUUUCUGCUUUUAUUAUGAGGUGGUGCUGGACAAGCGUCAACUGAUGCAAUUAAUACAGCCAGCUGUCAUGAUCUCAGCUGCAACACAAUGAUUUAAAAGCAUUCCGGAUUUGUAUUGCUUUUCCUCCCCACCACCCUGCAAUGUACUGUUUUGAUUUGAAAAUACUGAAAUAUCCAGUCACAGAACGGCAUUUUCCAGGGCGGUAAUAGCCUUAACAAUGUUUUUUAUCUAUGCUCAGUCUUCCUGCAAAGAGAUAGAAUAAGAUGGACACUGUUGAAGAGCUGCUGUUCUUCUGUUGAAGAACUUUCUCCAGGCUCCCUUUGCAAGACCAACUUUGAGUCAAAGGGAUGGGACCAGACAGGCCUGCUUUGAGGCUCCAACAGGACUCGAGUGGCAGAGGAAACACAUAUACUAGAAAGUUCUGCCA